UCCGUAGGUGAACCUGCGGAGGGAUCAUUACACAAAUAUGAAGGCGGGCUGGAACCUCUCGGGGUUACAGCCUUGCUGAAUUAUUCACCCUUGUCUUUUGCGUACUUCUUGUUUCCUUGGUGGGUUCGCCCACCACUAGGACAAACAUAAACCUUUUGUAAUUGCAAUCAGCGUCAGUAACAAAUUAAUAAUUACAACUUUCAACAACGGAUCUCUUGGUUCUGGCAUCGAUGAAGAACGCAGCGAAAUGCGAUAAGUAGUGUGAAUUGCAGAAUUCAGUGAAUCAUCGAAUCUUUGAACGCACAUUGCGCCCUUUGGUAUUCCAAAGGGCAUGCCUGUUCGAGCGUCAUUUGUACCCUCAAGCUUUGCUUGGUGUUGGGCGUCUUGUCUCUAGCUUUGCUGGAGACUCGCCUUAAAGUAAUUGGCAGCCGGCCUACUGGUUUCGGAGCGCAGCACAAGUCGCACUCUCUAUCAGCAAAGGUCUAGCAUCCAUUAAGCCUUUUUUCAACUUUUGACCUCGGAUCAGGUAGGGAUACCCGCUGAACUUAAGCAUAU
rnacentral:rRNA from 1 species